rnacentral:rRNA from 1 species
CCAGACUCCUACGGGAGGCAGCAGUCGGGAAUAUUGCGCAAUGGAGGAAACUCUGACGCAGUGACGCCGCGUGCAGGAAGAAGGUUUUCGGAUUGUAAACUGCUUUCGACAGGGAAGAAACAAGACAGUACCUGUAGAAUAAGCUCCGGCUAACUACGUGCCAGCAGCCGCGGUAAUACGUAGGGAGCAAGCGUUAUCCGGAUUUAUUGGGUGUAAAGGGUGCGUAGACGGAGAAGCAAGUUAGUUGUGAAAUCCCUCGGCUUAACUGAGGAACUGCAACUAAAACUACUUCCCUUGAGUGCUGGAGAGGAAAGUGGAAUUCCUAGUGUAGCGGUGAAAUGCGUAGAUAUUAGGAGGAACACCAGUGGCGAAGGCGACUUUCUGGACAGUAACUGACGUUGAGGCACGAAAGUGUGGGGAGCAAACAGGAUUAGAUACCCUAGUA